rnacentral:misc_RNA from 1 species
GGACGACAGACCCCAGCGGUCGGCCAGCGGAUUGUAGACCACGCCCGCCUGAUCGCUGAUAGCGAGCUUGUUGCGCUCGAGAUGAUGCGUGAGUUCGGCCGGCGUGACGAACUUGUCCCACUGAUGGGUGCCGCGCGGCAGCCAGCGCAGAAUGUAUUCCGCGCCGACGAAUGGCAAGCGCAAAGCUCUUCCAGGUCCGGUUGAUGGUCGAGGCCACCAUCAUGCUGGUCGGCUUGAGCAGCGCCGCGCAGCGAUCGAGAAACAUCCCGACAUUGGCGACGUGUUCGACAACCUCCAUCGCCAGCACGAUGUCGAACCGUUCACGCGGGUCCAUCUCUUCGAUG